GAUGAACGCUGGCGGCGUGCCUAAUACAUGCAAGUCGAGCGAACGGACGAGAAGCUUGCUUCUCUGAUGUUAGCGGCGGACGGGUGAGUAACACGUGGAUAACCUACCUAUAAGACUGGGAUAACUUCGGGAAACCGGAGCUAAUACCGGAUAAUAUUUUGAACCGCAUGGUUCAAAAGUGAAAGACGGUCUUGCUGUCACUUAUAGAUGGAUCCGCGCUGCAUUAGCUAGUUGGUAAGGUGACGGCUUACCAAGGCAACGAUGCGUAGCCGACCUGAGAGGGUGAUCGGCCACACUGGAACUGAGACACGGUCCAGACUCCUACGGGAGGCAGCAGUAGGGAAUCUUCCGCAAUGGGCGAAAGCCUGACGGAGCAACGCCGCGUGAGUGAUGAAGGUCUUCGGAUCGUAAAACUCUGUUAUUAGGGAAGAACAUAUGUGUAAGUAACUGUGCACAUCUUGACGGUACCUAAUCAGAAAGCCACGGCUAACUACGUGCCAGCAGCCGCGGUAAUACGUAGGUGGCAAGCGUUAUCCGGAAUUAUUGGGCGUAAAGCGCGCGUAGGCGGUUUUUUAAGUCUGAUGUGAAAGCCCACGGCUCAACCGUGGAGGGUCAUUGGAAACUGGAAAACUUGAGUGCAGAAGAGGAAAGUGGAAUUCCAUGUGUAGCGGUGAAAUGCGCAGAGAUAUGGAGGAACACCAGUGGCGAAGGCGACUUUCUGGUCUGUAACUGACGCUGAUGUGCGAAAGCGUGGGGAUCAAACAGGAUUAGAUACCCUGGUAGUCCACGCCGUAAACGAUGAGUGCUAAGUGUUAGGGGGUUUCCGCCCCUUAGUGCUGCAGCUAACGCAUUAAGCACUCCGCCUGGGGAGUACGACCGCAAGGUUGAAACUCAAAGGAAUUGACGGGGACCCGCACAAGCGGUGGAGCAUGUGGUUUAAUUCGAAGCAACGCGAAGAACCUUACCAAAUCUUGACAUCCUUUGACAACUCUAGAGAUAGAGCCUUCCCCUUCGGGGGACAAAGUGACAGGUGGUGCAUGGUUGUCGUCAGCUCGUGUCGUGAGAUGUUGGGUUAAGUCCCGCAACGAGCGCAACCCUUAAGCUUAGUUGCCAUCAUUAAGUUGGGCACUCUAAGUUGACUGCCGGUGACAAACCGGAGGAAGGUGGGGAUGACGUCAAAUCAUCAUGCCCCUUAUGAUUUGGGCUACACACGUGCUACAAUGGACAAUACAAAGGGCAGCGAAACCGCGAGGUCAAGCAAAUCCCAUAAAGUUGUUCUCAGUUCGGAUUGUAGUCUGCAACUCGACUACAUGAAGCUGGAAUCGCUAGUAAUCGUAGAUCAGCAUGCUACGGUGAAUACGUUCCCGGGUCU
rnacentral:rRNA from 1 species